rnacentral:rRNA from 1 species
GGGCCCGCACAAGCGGUGGAGCAUGUGGUUUAAUUCGAUGAUACGCGAGGAACCUUACCAGGGCUUAAAUGUAGAGCGACAGAGGUGGAAACACCUCCUUCUUCGGACGGUCUACAAGGUGCUGCAUGGUUGUCGUCAGCUCGUGCUGUGAAGUGUCGGGUUAAGUCCCAUAACGAGCGCAACCCCUAUUUCUAGUUGCCAGCGGUUCGGCCGGGGACUCUAGAGAAACUGCCAGCGUAAGCUGUGAGGAAGGUGGGGAUGACGUCAAAUCAUCACGGCCCUUACGUCCUGGGCCACACACGUGCUACAAUGGUGGAGACAGAGAGUUGCCAACCCGCGAGGGUGAGCUAAUCUUCAAACUCCAUCUCAGUUCGGAUCGAAGUCUGCAACUCGACUUCGUG